CACUGUAGACUCCGAUUUCAUGAAAUUGUGAUUAGUAAUUAUUAUUCGAAACAAAUAUAUAUUUAAUAAAAUCUUAAUUAUACAUUAACUUUAAAUAAAUGCGUCCCACAAAAUGCUUAGAAAAUAAGCACAACUUAAAUCUAGCACUAUAUUCAAAUUCUACGGACUCCCAAAAUGGAUAUCUUUGGUCAUUAAUUUCUUUAAUUAUUUUGUCAACUUUCAAUGAAGACCAGAUUUAGGAAAGCGGCCAAUUGUUCUUGCUGGCCCC
rnacentral:lncRNA from 1 species